rnacentral:rRNA from 1 species
AUUGAACGCUGGCGGCAUGCUCUACACAUGCAAGUCGAACGGUAACAGGCCGCAAGGUGCUGACGAGUGGCGAACGGGUGAGUAAUGCAUCGGAACGUGCCCAGUCGUGGGGGAUAACUACUCGAAAGAGUAGCUAAUACCGCAUACGAUCUAUGGAUGAAAGCGGGGGACCGUAAGGCCUCGCGCGAUUGAAGCGGCCGAUGUCAGAUUAGGUAGUUGGUGGGGUAAAGGCUCACCAAGCCAACGAUCUGUAGCUGGUCUGAGAGGACGACCAGCCACACUGGGACUGAGACACGGCCCAGACUCCUACGGGAGGCAGCAGUGGGGAAUUUUGGACAAUGGGCGCAAGCCUGAUCCAGCAAUGCCGCGUGCAGGAAGAAGGCCUUCGGGUUGUAAACUGCUUUUGUACGGAACGAAACGGCUCUGGUUAAUACCCGGGGCUAAUGACGGUACCGUAAGAAUAAGCACCGGCUAACUACGUG